rnacentral:rRNA from 1 species
AACGAACGCUGGCGGCAUGCCUAACACAUGCAAGUCGAACGAGACCUUCGGGUCUAUUGGCGCACGGGUGCGUAACGCGUGGGAACCUGCCCUUAGGUUCGGAAUAACUCCCCGAAAGGGGUGCUAAUACCGGAUAAUGUCUUCGGACCAAAGAUUUAUCGCCUUUGGAUGGGCCCGCGUUGGAUUAGCUAGUUGGUAGGGUAAAAGCCUACCAAGGCGACGAUCCAUAGCUGGUCUGAGAGGAUGAUCAGCCACACUGGGACUGAGACACGGCCCAGACUCCUACGGGAGGCAGCAGUGGGGAAUAUUGGACAAUGGGCGAAAGCCUGAUCAAGCAAUGCGGCGUGAGUGAGGAAGGCCUUAGGGUUGUAAAGCUCUUUUACCCGGGAUGAUAAUGACAGUACCGGGAGAAUAAGCUCCGGCUAACUACGUG